CGGACGGGUGAGUAACGCGUGGGUAACCUGCCUCAUACAGGGGGAUAACAGUUAGAAAUGACUGCUAAUACCGCAUAAGACCACAGCACCGCAUGGUGCAGGGGUAAAAACUCCGGUGGUAUGAGAUGGACCCGCGUCUGAUUAGCUAGUUGGUGAGGUAACGGCCCACCAAGGCGACGAUCAGUAGCCGGCCUGAGAGGGUGACCGGCCACAUUGGGACUGAGACACGGCCCAA
rnacentral:rRNA from 1 species